AUUGAACGCUGGCGGCAUGCUUUACACAUGCAAGUCGAACGGCAGCGCGGGGCAACCUGGCGGCGAGUGGCGAACGGGUGAGUAAUAUAUCGGAACGUACCCAGAAGUGGGGGAUAACGUAGCGAAAGUUACGCUAAUACCGCAUACGAUCUACGGAUGAAAGUAGGGGACCUCAAGGCCUUAUGCUUUUGGAGCGGCCGAUAUCUGAUUAGCUAGUUGGUGAGGUAAAGGCUCACCAAGGCGACGAUCAGUAGCUGGUCUGAGAGGACGACCAGCCACACUGGAACUGAGACACGGUCCAGACUCCUACGGGAGGCAGCAGUGGGGAAUUUUGGACAAUGGGCGCAAGCCUGAUCCAGCAAUGCCGCGUGAGUGAAGAAGGCCUUCGGGUUGUAAAGCUCUUUUGUCAGGGAAGAAACGGUAGAGGCUAAUAUCCUUUGCUAAUGACGGUACCUGAAGAAUAAGCACCGGCUAACUACGUG
rnacentral:rRNA from 1 species